rnacentral:rRNA from 1 species
UAUGGCUCAACCAUAGAACUGCAUCCAAAACUGAGGGGCUAGAGUCUGGGAGGGGAAGAUGGAAUUAGUGGUGUAGGGGUAAAAUCCGUAGAGAUCACUAGGAAUACCAAAAGCGAAGGCGAUCUUCUGGAACAGUACUGACGCUGAGGCGCGAAAGCGUGGGGAGCAAACAGGAUUAGAUACCCUGGUAGUCCACGCCCUAAACUAUGAAUGUUAGUCGUCGGGAGGCUCGUCCUCUCGGUGAUGCAGCUAACGCAUUAAACAUUCCGCCUGGGGAGUACGGUCGCAAGAUUAAAACUCAAAGGAAUAGACGGGGACCCGCACAAGUGGUGGAGCAUGUGGUUUAAUUCGAAGAUACGCGAAGAACCUUACCUGGCCUUGACAUUGAUAGAAUCUGCUAGAGAUAGCGGAGUGCCCUUCGGGGAGCUUGAAAACAGGUGCUGCACGGCUGUCGUCAGCUCGUGUCGUGAGAUGUUGGGUUAAGUCCCGCAACGAGCGCAACCCUCGUCACUAGUUACUAACGGUUCGGCCGAGGACUCUAGUGAGACUGCCUUCGUAAGGAGGAGGAAGGUGAGGACGACGUCAAGUCAUCAUGGCCCUUACGGCCAGGGCGACACACGUGCUACAAUGGGAUGUACAAUGAGACGCAAUACCGCGAGGUGGAGCAAAUCUAUAAAGCAUCUCUCAGUUCGGAUUGUAGUCUGCAACUCGACUACAUGAAGCUGGAAUCAC